UACGUAGGGUGCAAGCGUUAAUCGGAAUUACUGGGCGUAAAGCGUGCGCAGGCGGUUUUGUAAGUCUGUCGUGAAAGCCCCGGGCUUAACCUGGGAAUUGCGAUGGAGACUGCAAGGCUUGAAUCUGGCAGAGGGGGGUAGAAUUCCACGUGUAGCAGCGAAAUGCGUAGAGAUGUGGAGGAACACCGAUGGCGAAGGCAGCCCCCUGGGUCAAGAUUGACGCUCAUGCACGAAAGCGUGGGGAGCAAACAGG
rnacentral:rRNA from 1 species